rnacentral:rRNA from 1 species
CGGCUCACCUAGGCGACGAUCCCUAGCUGGUCUGAGAGGAUGACCAGCCACACUGGAACUGAGACACGGUCCAGACUCCUACGGGAGGCAGCAGUGGGGAAUAUUGCACAAUGGGCGCAAGCCUGAUGCAGCCAUGCCGCGUGUAUGAAGAAGGCCUUCGGGUUGUAAAGUACUUUCAGCGGGGAGGAAGGGAGUAAAGUUAAUACCUUUGCUCAUUGACGUUACCCGCAGAAGAAGCACCGGCUAACUCC